CUGUAGCCUCCAUCACGUGUGGUCUUUUUUUCCUUCUCUUGUCCACUCUAAUGAAGCAGCUGCCAUCUUGUGACCUGCUCUAUGAAAAGGCCCACAUGGGAAGGAACUGAGGGAACCUCUGGCAACAACCAGUGAGAAACUGAGGCCCUCAGUCCAACAAUUGUGAGAAACUGAGUCCUGCUAACAACCAACCAGACCUUUUCAUGCCGGUGAUAUCUGAAAGAAAGUCUUCUCCUAUCUUGUCUCGCAAAUAUAUCAGAUUAUCCUUCAAGAGUCAAUUCAAAUGUUUUCUCAAUAGAGAGCUGCUGGACUUCCAGGCAGGAAGCAACACUUCCUGUUCCAAGCUGCUGCCAUCCACCUUACUCUGAGAGAAUCCUAAGCCAUGUAUUCGAGCUCUAAUACAGGCUGAUGAGUGAACCAAGAUGGAUCAAAGUUUCCUUCAAAAGCUACAAACAUAUACAAGGCACAGUCACACCUCAUGCAGAAUUCAAUACAGAGUGUAAAGCAUCAGGAGCCUCAGGAAAUUGCAC